rnacentral:rRNA from 2 species
UACGGGGGGGGCGAGCGUUGUCCGGAUUUACUGGGCGUAAAGCGCGUGUAGGCGGUCGUUUAAGUCCGGGGUGAAAGGCGGGGGCUCAACCCCCGAACGGCGCCGGAAACUGGACGGCUGGAGUGUCGGAGAGGGGAGUGGAAUUCUCGGUGUAGCGGUGAAAUGCGUAGAGAUCGAGAGGAACACCCGUGGCGAAGGCGGCUCCCUGGCCGAACACUGACGCUGAGACGCGAAAGCGCGGGGAGCGAACGGG